UCUGAAAUGCUUUGGGGCUUGAAACAGGUCGGGUUUGUCAUCUAAAAGUGUGCUGGCUACACCUGCUGCUCCGCUGGAGGUCUAUGCUGCUGUAGGCAGUGGUUGAGGCGGGGUUGUCACGUGUCGGGGACUCCGGUCAGAGCUUUGCCUCUGUGGGAGGGAGGGAGGGAGGAGGGGAGGAAAGGAGGGAGGGGAGGGCUGAUAGCAGGGUUGGGCCAUAAUGGCUUCUAUCUAUAAAGGAGCCAGAGAGACUCUUCUGUUCCCUUUCAGCCUCUUGGGGCACCCGACACGUGGUAGGGAGAGAGGUCACUGUUGAUGCUCGCAUUAAUCCUUCAGACGAUUCUUGACCACGGAUCUUUGGAGCUGUACUGACAACAGCUAAUGCCUCUCUGACCUGGUGUCUUAGUUCUUUUCUGUUGCUGUGAAGAGGCACCAUGACCAAGACGACUUAUAGAAGAAGGCCUUUAGUGGGGGCUCACAGAUGGUGAGUCCAUGGCCAACGUGGCAGGGAGCAUGGCAGCAUGCAGGUAAGAAUCUUGCUGGAGAACUUGUAUCUUGAGACAGCCCCAAGGCAAAGAGAGCAUGAACUGGGAGUGGGAUGGGCUUUUGAAGCCUCAAAGCCACUCCAAUGACACACCCUUAGCAAGGCCACACCUUUUACUCCUUCCCAAACAGUUCCACCAGCUGGGAAGCAAGUGUUUAAAUUUAACUAUAUACGAACUGAUGAGGGUUGUUCUCAUCAAAACCACCACAGCUGGUGAGGGGUGAGAUGGACCAUGCUUUAGCCCCUUUACCUGGGUAUGUUCAUGGGCUGAAACCUUGAAGGAGCCUGUGCAUGCCUGCUCCCUUAGUGGGAGAAGAAGGAGGCUUGGGAUGUAGGAUCUGCCUGUGGCUCACUACGGGUCACAGAGAGAGUGCACUGCUCAGAAACCAUAGAGUGAUUGAUACAUGGAGUGCAGAAAUCCUCUGAUGUACAACAGACAACAGGACGUCUCCUUUUGCAGCAGGUACACAGAUGACCACAGCCCUAAGAAAAAGUAGGUUUCAGAAAAACAAAAAAAUUCACAAGUUCCUGGCAGAAGUUUAGCUGCCAAAUCAGAUUUCAUAAUUAAAGGCAUUAAAAAUAUUUUUCUGAGGUGGUUGACUCUAUGCAAUGCAGUUAAUAGUGGGUUUAGAGGCAGGCUGCCAAGACAGAGACAGGGAGGUUGCAUAAUGCACAUCGCCAGCCAGGUUAGUGUUUAUCUCUGCCGAAGAACCCCCUGCUUCAGUCUUCAAGGUAGGAUGUGUGAGAGGAAUCCACAAAUUCUAGUUUCAGUGGCCACAGGACAGUAUUAACCAUGUGCUAAUAUGGAAUGGUAAGUCGGAAGCUGAGUAUCACGCCAUUCUGAACGUGCUGAAGAAAACGUACACUGUGGCUUUCCUUGUGGAGAUAGGUGAGAGGUCUGAGAGUUUCCAGAUGAUGGACUGAACCCCUUUGAUAAGCGUGAGUGUACAGGUUGCUUCUGCCUGAUAACUUGAGUAGCCGGCAUGCAGAGAGGGUGGGGUGAAGGGUGGAGGGCAGUUGAGAUGCAGGUGGCAGUGCCCGUGGUAGCCUUUUAAAAGAGGGUACAAUUCUGGGUAUAAAGACGACAUAUACAUAAAAUUACAAUCGCUUGAACUUGUUGAGUGUCUCCUUGGAAACUGGGAUUGGGAUCAAAUGGAGGGCUGGGGUCUGUCAGCACUAGAGGACUUUCCCAGAAGACCAACCAACAACCAACCAACCCAUAGUGAAGGUAUCGGUCCAGGCCUCAAAUCUCAGGACCCCUUCUGUCCCUGAGGGAUUUUUGUUACAUUUAAAACUGACAUUUCUUCAUUAUGAAUUAUACAGAUGCUGCCUUUACGCUGUAUUUCACAGCAGGCUUGCACGGAAUGGUGCUUAAAGCCUCCUGCUUGCCACCCUCUCUUGAUUUUUCAUUUUAAUUUUCCUUAAUGUUAGUUUACUUAACAUUCAGUUGCGUUAAUUUUCUUCUUUGUUGUAAGAGUUUUCUAAACUAAAACACUUUGUUCUAGAAGUCUCCAUUUGAACUUCUUGCUUGUGCCUCUGUGUGUGUGGAAGUGGAACUGUGAGAUAGAAUUUUACUAACUAGCUCAUGAGGACCCUGAGCGGAGGUCCUGCUUUCUCAGCAUCCUCUGUGCUGAGAUUAUAGGCUUGUACCACUACUCCCAGCUGCCGUUUGAACUUUUCAUUCCGAUAAACUCUUUGAACACAUGCACUCACACCAUGAGAACUCGCUAGCCCAAAGGUCACUGCUGCCACAGCCCUUUAGCAUUCAUAGCUUUUUUAGCUAGUUGCUCUGGCUCCAAGCCACUGUGUGUUCCCAAGCUAAGGAUUUGUCUAUUUUCUCACACCUUUCAUACUUCUCCGUUGGGUUCUGGUUUUUGUUGUUCUGUUUGGUUUUGGUUUUGGCUUGUUUUUUUUUUUUUUUUUGUUUUUUUGUUUUUUCCUCAUUUUCCCGAGUAGUUGUUCCUUUAGUAACUUGAUCCAUCUCCUUGUUACUGGUUCUUUUUCUAUAUAGCCCCACCAGCAGCACGGAGUUCACUAUAUAUCAAGUAUAUAUGGUGUACAAAUAAAUAGUAGCCCACAGGCUAACACAGUUUGAAGCAAGUCAUUUUUAAGUACAAUUGAGGCCGUGAGUCCAAUCAUUCGACUAGAUUUCUGUAGGAAAAGCAAGGGGAAAAAAAAAAAAUAGAUGCUGCAGUGUUUAUGUAACCCGAGAAGCAGGCCGGGAACUGACCUCCGAAAAUGUUCUGGUCCUGAUGGUUUGAAAGCAGUCGGAGCAGGUAGUGUGGGUGUGGCUUUAGCACACUUGGGCUCUUAAGCUCGAGUAGAACCUCCUAGGUGAGCUGGUAUACUGUUUCUUGAAAUUAGUGUCCUAGAUCAGGCCUUCUAUCUCCAACCCCAUCCAAUAAAGAUACGUUUACAGCCUCCUGUUUGAAUAGGUGCAUGUCCUCUGCUGAACUGAAAUUAUCUCAAUCAGUCCUGGUGAGUCUUCCCUUUCCAAGAACAAUCAUUUCAGUUGGAAAGGCUCUGUGAUUUUGGCUGUAUUUUAGGCUUUAUGACACACAGUUAUUAAGAUAAUAUUUGGCCCUGGACAAGGGUUACUAGGUGUUCUUUGACAGGUGGGAAGAGGUUUAUUCCAAUAAUCUCAUAAAACCAGAGCCUGCUUCUAGUUAAGGGACACAGUUAUGAGUUCACGAAUUUGGCUAGGUUUCUUUAGAGGAAAAAAAAAAUGAGGUGCAUCAUUUGUGUGACCUGGAAAAUCACACUUACACUAUGACCCAUCAGUGUAGGUGGCCUGGGCCUGAUUGUGGAGGCAGCCUGUGGCAGUUUUGGUCUUGUGCAAGCAGUUGGUACCCAGCUCGAGUCAGUGAGGUGCUGUGUGCUGAAUAUUGUGUGUUAGCAGAAACCAUUGGCUACUCAAAUAGGUUAAAAAUGAUCACCAAGUGAAUUUCUUAAAUAAAAAACUGCAAUUCUCCUUUGAAGAUUUAAAGAUACUUUUAUAUUUUUUGUUUGUUUUUGUUUUGUUUUGGUUUUUUGAGACAGGGUUUCUUUGUGCAGUCCUGGCUGUCCUGGAACUCACUCUGUAGAGCAGGCUGGCUUUGAACUCAGAAAUCUGCCUGCCUCUGCCUCCCAAGUGCUGGGAUUACAGGCAUGCACCACCACUGCCCAGCUAAUACUUAUAUUCUUUAACCAAAUUUUAAUUGAUCAACCUGUUUUAGCUUUUCAUGUAGUAAAAAUAUGUCUAGAAUUUUGUUUGCUAUUGGUCUUGGUUUUUGGAGACAGGACCUAGCUCUAUGCUGGGCUGGUCUUGAAAUUGCUGGCAAGCCUCCUGCCUCAGCUUUCUGAGUGCUGGAUAACAGGCAAGACUACACCUGGAGCUGUGAGCUUCCAGGAUUUGUUCUAUGCCUUAGAGUAGAGUAGUCUUUGUGCUACUCACUGACUUGAUGUCUUGUUCUUGGGGUCAGGUUAUUUUCAGCUCAUGGUUCCGUCUCAAGUAGGACCACGAAGCUGACAAAGACGUUCGCUUGUCUGUUAUCUCGAGUGUAUCUUUACUAAGAAGAAAACAAUGUUCGUUUUAUUGUUUGUGUCAUGUAGUUUGACAACUUUGGACAAUCCAAUUUAUCAGAGCAUUGCUGGAUGAUCAUUUAAACUACCAAGUGCUUGCAUCUAUCUUCCUCCCUCCAUCUCCCUUUAAAGAAAAAACAAAACAAAACAAAACCCACUUUAUUUUGCUGAGGGAGAAAUUUUAUUGUUCUGGCACAUGGUUUCAAGGUUGAGCCUUUAGAUAAUUUGCAAAAAGUUCAGGCUCCUUUGUCUCUAGUCGGUGACUGUUAGCGCUCCUGGGAAAAGUACACCUUGUUAUAAAGAGUUCCCUGAUAGGCUCUUGGCCUGCUACCAAGCCUUUGGCAAAUGAGGGCACCACUCUAGUUGUGUUUCAGAAUCACAUGGAGAACCUUAAAAAGCCAGUGCCCACUUUCUACUUCAGACAGUUAGGGCGGUGUCCCCAAGUGUAGCCAUCUUUUUUAAGCUUCUCAAGUGGCUGUACUAUAUAACCAUGGUUGAGAACCAUGGUCUUAGGGAAGUGAGAGAGAUACUGCCUGUGGAUGUCAUCGCCGGUUUUGGUAAUGACUUUUGGACCCCUUUUAUACUCUUCUCUGUGGGAAGAUUACAAGGCAGAGAGUUGUCACCCUUGUGCCCCUGUCCCCGCCCCAGCUCAGAAUGAAAAGAAAUGUGGUCAGGUUGGAGCUAAGGCAUUUGAAACAAGAGCAUCAUCAUUCCUUAACAAGCUAUAUUUAGCACAGUCUCUUCUUUUGUAUAAUUGUAAGUGGUUUAUUUAAAGUCCCCACCUCCCACUUGUUUUUCCUUGUCUCUAUUGGACCCUACUUAACUUAGUUUGAAGUCUGUAGGAACUUGUAAGAAGAGAUGGUACUGUUAGGAAACAUUGUAUAAGACUUGAAAACGGAGACACUUUACCUUGUUUCUUUUGAGAGCCUACUGUUGUGUAUACUGUAUCUACCACGCUCUGAUUCCUGAGCUAUUGACUGCCAUAGUGUGGUUCUCAGACCAACCCCAACCGUGCUGACAUCACAUAGGCACAUGUUGGGAAUACAGAUCCUAAGACCCCAUCCCAGACAUACUAAGUCAGACAUUCUGGACAGCCGUCAGUUUUCACAAGCUCUCUCUCUGGCGAUACUGCUGCAAGCUGAGGCUUCAGCACUGGGUUUCAAAAGAUAUUAUACAUUUUUAAUAUAUUAGCUUUACUUGCAUGCCUGUACAUGUGCAUGACUGUACAUGUGCAUGCCUGUGCAUGCCCGUACCAUGUUCCGGGAGAGUGCCAGGUGCCCUGCAACUGGAGUUAUAGAUGGUUGUAAGCUGCCAUGUGGGUUCUGGGAGUCGAACCUCUGUCCUCUGGAGGAGCAGCCGGCUUUGUUAACUGCUGAGCCGUUUCUUCGGCCCCAGAAACAGUCUUCUAAAGUCAUUUGCUAAGUGUGUGGGAUUCUUUGUGAUGAUUUAAGAAGUCAGAAUCAUAAUUCUGAUCUUGGUUUCUGAAUCCUGACAUAGGGGAAAAUGAACAGACAUCUUGUGAUGGGGUCUGUUGAAUGUAGCAAAGCUCUGUCCCCAUGAGUGUUCUAGACCAGCCUCUCUCUCCCUGUAGCUUUCUGCAAAAGGCAGGGGGCCAGUCUCCUUCCAAGGCCACAGGUGGGAACAAAGCUCCUACCCAGUUGUCUGAAGAGCACCAGUGUCCAUCCUGAGGUGGGUGUUUUCAAAGAGCUGUGUUUCCAUGAGACUCUGGGUGUUUAAUGAUCUUCCCCGUUUGUUUGUUUUUUUGCCUUCGGGGAGCAUCGCUAGUCUCAAGACCAGCGUGAAGCCAGGGAGUAGCCUCUGACUCAUCCCCAGACAGACUCGAGAUGUGUGGGAGAAAGAUAAGAUUAAAAUGUGCUGGGUGUAAUCGAGGAGAGAAGGGGAGAGAGGGGCAGCACUGGCAAUGAAGACAGGAGCGAGCAGUUGGCAUCUGCCUUGGCUCACCCCAAGGUGAAGCCAGGGGUAGAUGGAAUUAUUGCUGCUUGCCAGUCUCAUUGGAUUUGUAGUCCAUUAAGCAGGGCCUCAUCAUCAGCCGUAUCAGACAUAGCUGACGGCUUUAGGAGUGUAGUGAGAACAGUGGUCUGGCCAGGACCUGAAGUUCAUUUCAGGACCUCUUUCUUAAAAGCUGCUUCAGAAUAUUACAUGGGGCUCAUAAACACUCAUACUUGAGCACUGUGGGGGAAAACUACCCAUAUUAGUUUAGACUGUAAGCCCUUGUUUUAGUAGCAUACCAGGUUGUACCCCUGAGAAUGUGGCCUGAAUCCUGAGCUCCUGGAGGACUUUGUGUUGGGCUUUCUAAGGGAGUGGGAAGGACUGGAAGAUCACUCUCCUUCAUCGCGGUUCCUGAGACGGUCAAGAAGAUAGCUUGAAGUGUUGGACACCAUCAGAAGGGACAGGCAGCAGUUUUUUAUCUGAGGCCAGAGUUUAGGAGUCCUGAGUAGUGUGUUACGAAUAUUGCUGGCAACAUUUAUACCUGAACUCUAGGAGAAUUGUAGAGCCCUCGAAAGAUCAGAAGUAAGUUGGAUGUAGCUGAUGGAAACUGGAGUUGUUUCCUUCCAAAGCUGCCGUUGCUCACAGUUGAAAUGUGUAAACAUGGCUUCCAUUUGGUUUCCAAAAACACAGGCCUCUGUUGGCAUGUUUUGAGAACAAGAAAGCAAUAUGUUUUGAAAGGUUCUGGCACCAAAGGUUCGUUUACUGUGGAGUUAGGCUCAGCAUGCCUGCCUGGCAGCAGUGUAGAAGGGUUGCCUCCAUCCCAGUGGGACCCUGAGACCUGGACUCCCAUGAACUUUCCUGUUGACGGAGGUGAAUGAAAUUACGUGCACAUCCCUCUCUGCCAGAGGCCUCAGGGGAAGGUCCCUGAGUCCCUGCAAGAUUUAGAGAGUUGUAGGUGAGAGUUUUUAAUCUGUUUCCACUGAAAGGGGAGGAGGUGCAGCACCAUUAUAAACCUUUGCUCUGAGUUGUGAGCAGGUGUGAGUGUGUAUGAGUGUGCAGUCUGUGAGUGGGUGUGAAUGUGAGUGGGUGUGAGUGUGCAGUCAAAGCCUUUUGAUUUAUUCCUCAUUUUCACAACUGUAGCUGUCAUUGAACACUUUGUAGUGUGCCCGCACUAAGAGUUUAGCUGUUCUUGCAGACGAGGCAUGAGCCGGUAGACGGUUGGAGAUGGGAUACCAGCAGUGUCUUUUCUCCUUUGACAGAAUUCUGAAGUCAGUAAUUCGCCCAAGCCUCAGAGGUUUUGAUUUUUAACUCAAUCCUAACGAUAACUGCCUCGAUCGGCGGUGAUCUUUUCUAAUAUAAUUCUUAAUCUGGUUCAAAAGAAGAGAGAGGAGAGAGUUUGCAGGGUCCGCUGGGAUGGAGACAAAGGUCUCACUCUGCUCGUCACUCUCAGAGCCCACAGUAAGAAGUCUGCCCUGUUAGGCUCUAGACCGGUGUCCGCCUGGAACACGAAAGGCUUUUCAGACUUGUAAUUUGGUGAUGCAAGGUUGAUUAUUCUUUGGGAUGGCACUCGCCAACGUGGCCAUUUUCCAUGAGACUGGGGUGUAAGAAGAGUGGCCUGGUCCCCUCUGCAGGUGUGGAAAUGGGGCACAGAGAUACUUUUACUCCAGAUGGCAUCAAAGCUUGCUUUGGGCAACCUCUUUCACUUUCCUUCCUCUCCAUUCAUUUCUCUGUCUCCUCUCCUCUGCCCUGCCCCAGUCUCCCUCGUAGGAGAGGCCUGUGUACUGUAGUCUAGUGAGCGGACACACAGCACACAUUCAUCGAUACAUUUAGAGCCCCUAGACCUGGCUCUCCUCACUGUAGGGCAAGACAUUGUGGCGGUGGCCACAGUGAACCCUGCUAAAUGAUGGCGAGGAGGACAAGAUCAUCAUGGCGCACAGCCUAGGAGCAUGGGAGAUGCCCAGGAGAAACUCCCUCCCUGCCAGAGGCGGAAGAGAUGUUGUGUGACUUUAACAAAUUGUUAGGGGAUUGCCAGUGCUGGUGUAGGAGUUAAAUGGUUACAUAAUUUUUUCCCAAGAACAUUAUCAGACCGUGUGUGUGCGUACUCAGGUGCUGACAUUGAUGGCUCCACGUUGUAAUUAAAGUGCAGGUCGGACUUCCAGCCUCAGUGUGGAAUCACGGAGCCCGGUGGGAGUGUGACCCAUCGCGUCUCUCCCCGACUGGCAAGAAGAGGAAGCUAAGCUGUGUUGUGGUUUGGGAUAAAUAAUAAUUGUGAGGUCUUCUGUUUCCAGGAUUACCUUCCAAGGGUUCAGAGUUAUGAGUCAUUUUCUUUUUUGUCAAGGUGGGAAAAGAGUUCUUUCUACAAACUGAAUCUCGCAAAGUCCUUGGUGCUUAGCAGACACUGGGAUAAGAGGAAGGAACUGGGGAACUGCUUGCGCCAUCUUUGCCCUCUUCCUAUCCUCCUUGAGAAAGGCUCUGCAGCUUGCUGCCAGCCCUCGGGUAACAGAGCGUGCUUGGCCCUUCAGCAGUUCUGUGGGGGCAAGGAAGCUUUGCAGUCCCCCAAUCUUGUCAGGAGGAAGGAAGGAGAAGUCAACUUUUCCCUACUGGGUAAGCGGCAAGGGGAGCAGACGCCGCCAUCCACCUGUACCUCAGGUGCUGGGGCCCUGAGCAUCUUCUUGCCUGAGGGAAGCAGGCCCCACAGCUUGAGUGCUGGGAAAGGUGAAGGCUGCAUCAGGCACAGUCAGGGUUUAAUUGAACCUGCAGAGCUUUGUGUCUGGUUACGGGAACUCAGAAACAUCUUUCUUUCUUUCUUUCUUUCUUUCUUUCUUUCUUUCUUUCUUUCUUUCUUUCUUUUUGUCAGCCACAGACUAGUAACAUUUUUAGAAGUGGUUGGACUUUUUAAAAUAAAAAUUAUGUGCCGCUUGUAUAUAAAACAGAGACGUCCUAAAGACCUGCUACAGAAUAAACAGCCGUUUGUGGAAUAAGGCCUCCAUCCUACGGGUUAGCUUCACUCCGUUGUGUCGUCGAGUUGGUGAGUUAGCAGUGGGUUUGUUAUUUUUUGAGGAGAUAGCUUUAGGGCAAACUUGGUGCUUUGCUUUCUUCCGAUGGCCUGCAUAGCCAAGUACAAAGAGGGAAGUCCAACCUGUCCCCGAAAGGAGUGCAGUUGGCCACCGUGUCUUUCAGCUGGCUCCCCAGGCCAGGGUGAGAUGUGACCGCCUAGACCGUUCCCCUGACCCUCCAGGCACACGCUUGUGUUCCUGAUAUCUCCAUUCAUUCAUCUCAGGUGACCCCAGUUUCUAGGAGGUCUUACCUGAGAAGCAAAUGGUGUUAAGUUAAUGAUGAUAGCCCUGAGCUGUGGCAUGGGUGCCAUCAGCUGACCCUCCCAACCUGCAUUAGGGCAUCAAUGCAGAGAUGUGAAGACCUCACUUGUAACCACACAGGGAGGCUGCUCUUCUUAACUUUUCAUUGAUUAGGUGGGCUCCAGCAUUUUUAUUUUUGUUCGAGACAGUUCUUCACCAUGUAUCUCAUGGUCUUGAGAAGAGCCUGCCUGUCUCGUGACGAUGUCUAAGAUUUGUCAGGACACCAUUCUCAAUACUGACAGACACCACCACACAGUACCCUAGCGAAAAACAAGACUCUUUUAUUGUGCCCAGUGUAGAGGCAUCGCAUAAGAUGUACCUGGGAGAGACUUUGUCCUGGCGGCCCAAGUGCUAGCGUCAGACCUGCUAGACCCUGAGGAUUUCUUGCCUGGUGUCACCUCUGGAAUCCAGGAGGACGGGGAGGGGGCGUGGAUCCUGAGUUUCUGAGUGGCUGUAUCAUCCGGAUUCUGACUUCCUGAGUGUUAGGUUGACAAGAGUACCUACCAGUCCCAGAGGCAAGGGCAUAGUGACUUGGAUUGAUGUCUGUCCUCUGCUACAGAGGAGAUCUGAAGUUCCUUCAGUCUCACUUCCGGGCAGCCUAGAGAGUAAAUAUUUGGGGGAAACUUGGUUAUCUUUGGGAAUUUGGCCCCCAGAAAUGAUGUUCUAUAACUCUUAGAGUCUGAUUGUUAGACACUGGAGCAGUUUGGCUCCUGGAUUGAGGAUCUCUUUUUGCUUUGGCCCUGAGGGCCACAGCGCCACUGUGGUCACUUAAUGUCAGGAGAGAUUUCAGCCUUAACGCUGAUUAUAACAAGAUGCCUAAUGAACUAGAUCUAUGUAUGCUUGAAAGGCCCUGUGACAAUACAUCAGAUUAUCUGGACUUAACUCCUGUGAAUAGUUCUGUCAGUCACAGAUGGCUGAAUGUUCUGGUCCCCCAGUAGUGGCUUGGUGGCCUUGCCACUGAUUUCUGAAGCCUGACUCAGGUCAGAACCUAAAGCUGAGGGAGAGUAGCCAUGUCCUGGGUUCUCGUGAGUUGGUCAUUGGGGGACAGGACGUGAGGAUUUGGUGCCUGCCCGCCUACUUCUGCUAACAUGCAGCAAGAUGUGGAAUGUACAUCUCAGGAAGAUGGACAGACUCAGAAUUGGCAUUGCUCGUUUUUCCCUCCUAGAGAUGGGACCUCACUUUGUUGUCCAAGCUGUCCUUAAUGCCCUGUGUUCAAGUAAUGACCACCUCAGCCUUCUGAAUGGCCGGAGCCACUUCAUUCACCUUUGCUUUGCCUGGUUGUGCCUGUGUGUGUGUGUGUGUGUGUGUGCGUGUGCGUGUGCGUGUGCGUGCGUGUGCGUGUGCGUGUGCGUGUGUGUGUGUGUGUGUAUACAUUUAUGCGUUUAUUUAUUUAAAUCCAGACUUUCACUAUGUACCCCUGAGUGGUCUGGAACUCACUACAUGUAGACUAGGCUAGCCUUAAACUCACAGAGAUCUUUCACCUGCCUUAGCUUCCUGAGCAUUCUGACCGGUGUAGUCUGGUAAAUGGCCAGUCUGAGCACAGUGUUUUUUGGGGGGACUGCUCUUACUCACUCUGGAUGGAAAGAGGGGCAGUUGUGAUUUUUCCACUGUGCCGUGCCUCAACGCCUUCGUUGUUUUCUCUUCUGAUAUUAAGAUUUCCAACAACACACUGUAGUGUUUUUCUUUUGUUGGUCAGAGUGUUACAGUAACCAAGAACUUCCCUGAGCCUUCACAACUCUGAAGGAAAAGCAGCAGAGCACAGAACUUUUUCGGUAACUGGGGUCCUGGGAUCUGGUGGUGCUCUCCCCUCGUUUUGGCUCUGUUAUUUGUUUGUAUAACCAUGAACGAAUACUGCGUGUUCUUUCUUACACGAGCUAACCUGGCUCAUCCUAACAGAUGGUCUACCAGGUAAAUCAAGAAGGUGUAUCACAGCCCCGGGCACUUGGUAGUAUGUGAGGAGUGUCACCUGUAGUCUGACUGUCUGGAAACUUGUAUAUAUCAGGAUACAGAGCCAAUGUCGGAUGGUCCCAAGUAAAGUGUAUGUGUAGAAUGGUUUAGAUUUCCAUCUGACUAGAACCUAAGAGGUCGUAGACUAGUAGAAGAAUAACGAUAACUUUCCCAAAGAACCCUGGCCAACCACAGAAGCCCUCUAAUGAGAGGCAGAAGGCACAAAUCUUGAAGCACAUUCCUGUAUGGAGUCCCUAAGCCAGACCUAUUUGACAUAAGAAGCUUGGGUCCCUGAUCUCUGUUGUGGUUCUUGUUUGGCAGUUGUCUUUGCCAGAAUAUCCAAACCUUGGAGAAUCUUGGCUGGCUUACUGUCCCAGAUUCUGGACUGCGGGUUUCCCAGUCAGGGUUUGCAUUCUGCUGAAAACCCUUACAACCCAAAGCCUCAGAGGUCUCAAAAUAACCCAGUGCAGGGGUUUCACGCCGCUUGACCUGUGCGCAUGUACACAGAGCUGUUUAGAACUCAGGUGGAGUGGGGUCAUGACUCUGCAAGAGACUGUAUGCCAUUCCCCAACCCCCCAGCACUUCAGCAGAGAGAGGCUAGCUGCUUUUCCUGAGACAGUCAGGAGCCUCUCAAGGUGUGCCCCAUGCAUUUCUCCAUUCACAGAUGUCUUUCUGCCUCCCAUUAGAUAGAGGCUUAGAGGCUAUUCAGGGCACAUUAAGAGGCUAUCAUUGUUAUUCUGUUAGCCUGCAGCCUCCUCUCUGGUUUUAGUAGGAUGAAAGUCCAAACCACUUUAAAUACACGUUGGACUCAGUAUCAUCUAAACUCCAGAGGCUUCUGCAGAGAGGGGAUGUGUUAGCCCUGGCUUCAGUGCCUUUCCUGUGUGUGGCUCCUGCCCUCAGGUGUCCUUCCAGGGUGUGUGUCGGAAAGAUGGGGGAACAGAUGUUUGGUUUCAUCUCAUCCCCUCCCCAUUUUCUUAGCAGCUUGCCACAAAUGUUGAAGAGAUCUGCCAUUCCUGUGUGGGUUCAUCCUAUGGAAAGCAAAGAGCCCUUUCCCACCAAGGUGGUGUCGAUUUCAAACUUAAUUUGCUGCUGCCGCUGCCUUAUACCAUGGCAACUUGGAGAAAGGUUUGCUGCUGAGUGAUGGAGCUGAAGAGCCAAGGGCUGUAUAGUCUUGAAGAGAUGCUGGAGUCGGGUUAACUUGGUCAGGACAGACAGAUCUGCUUUGACCUUUGAACUGCCUCUGAGUGACAGCGGUUUCCCAGCAGCAAUGUGGCAGGUUUUCUCUUAAUACAUCUUAAGGAAAACACUGAUGUAAGAGAUGCAGUCCUCAUUUUGGGAAUUUGAUUGUCUAAGGUAGCGAUCCAGUCCAUUUGAGCAUUCUUCUGUGGUUUCCGUACUUGCUUUAUAAUUCCUUUUCUGGCAUCCUGGGAGUUUGAUUGGGUGUGUAUGGAUUCAGACGUCAGUGCCUGAGUCUUAGCUGGGAAGCAGUAUGGGUCAGGGAGGAGCCUGCUAAUGGGUGGGCAGACAGGAACUAGGAGAGUUGGGGAGAAGACUAAUGCUUGCUGAGGGGGAAGCUGGGGUGACUGGGGUGUGGUGGCACUCAGCACCGGCACCGGCACUCAGUAGGGCCACAGUAGGUGACAAGACCAUGAUGUAGGAGGCAUCCAGAAAAUGGCCCAGGAGCUGGUGUGGGUUCGAUUCAUUUCUUGAUAUUGAGCACUAUCCUUUCAAUAACCCUGGAACCCAGUAGUUAACUUUUUCUCCGGCAGUUCUUUUUAUUAUUAAUUAAACUGAUACAUUCCAAAUCCUUCUCCCCUCUCCCAGUCCCCCCUCACAGAGUUCUUAUCCACAUACUUCCUCCCCUUUCCCUCUGAGAGGGUGCCCCCCCCACUCCCUGACCCCCACAUUCCCCUCCCUGAGGCAUGGAGUCUCUACAGGAUUAGGCACAUCUUCUCCCACUGAGGCCAGACAAGACAGUCCUGCUACAUCUGUGCCAGAGGCCUCAGACGGUCCGUGUAUGCUCUUUGGUUGAAUAGUGAAGAAAGUGAGGCCGGGAGCUGGGUCUUGUCUGUGCUUGAAUUGGUUGGUGUUUGGUGGGUCCUUGGCCAGACACCCCUGGCUUGUAAGUGGUAUUUGACUAUAGGUCCAGUGUCUACCCUGCACUCCAUGAUCUUCCUGCUUAUAUAGGGCAGGAAGGGACUCUAGAUGGCAGGAGGGUCUGGGCAAGAGGGGUCCCAGGCUGCUCACGGAGGGAAGUCAGAUAUAGGGCUAGGUGAGCGUGGUAUCAGGUAGCAUUUCCUCUGGAUAGCUGUCCUUCCUAAUAUCUAAUAUCUGCUGUUUACAGUGAGGCAGAGGAGUAUCUCAUAAUUUAAGAUUUUUAAGCUACAUUAACAGAGAGAAAGGCCCUAAAUUCUACCAGUCUGCUCAUCCAUUGCAUUGCCACGACCCCAUUUAAUAAUGCAUUGUGUUGUUUUUAAACUGAUAAAUUCAAUAAAGGCAAAUAGAAUAUGUCCUUUAAAGCAAGUUAUUUUAAAUUAUUAAUACUCAUUUUAUAGCCUAUGUGGUGGCUCAUGUCUCUUACCCAGCACUCAGGGGAUUGAGGCAGAAGUUUUCUGAGUUCUAAGUCAGCUUAGGCUACAUAAGUCAAUUUCCAGUCAGUCUGGGCUAUAGGGUGAGACUUGAUUUCAAAGAAAGAAAAAAAUUCAUUUUGUGAAUUUCUCAGCGCUUGGCUUGUUCCUUUUGCUAGUUUGUUGAUUGGAUUGCGUUGACUGGAUUGGUUUUUUUUUUUUUCCCAUUAAAUUAUAUUAAAAAAAUUAAGAUUUAAAAAAAGAUAAAUUGAGGUUGUUGAACAGUUAACUAUCUUUAAUGAGCUGCUACAUUUUAUAAUUUUUAACGAAUGGGUUAUUUUACUAUUCCAGACAUUCAGUUGUGUGUGGAUAGCUUUACAGGCGUGCAUUUGUUAUAUAAAACCACACAUGUGCCAAUGUGUAGACAUGCCUUCUUCCCUCUCUCUCGUCAGUUCUGCUGCUUUUACAGUCCCCAGUUUUAAGAAAGAAAAAGCAGGGGCUAAGAUGGAGCUUCAACUGUAAAAAGGGCCACAGAGCACACUGCUGCAGUGCCCUGCUGACCAGGAACAGUAGGCUGUACGUUCACCAAAGUAGCUUGGCUCGGCCUUGCCUUGACACCAGGGCCUCAGGGUCAGGGUGUGUGUGUGUGUGUGUGUGUGUGUGUGUGUGUGUGGCUUAGCGGGGGGGCCUUCUGGUGUGCUGGGGGAGGAAGGUAAACAGACUGGCUACCCCCCUGCUCACUGUCGUGUCUCCUGACUUAGAUGUAGAGAAGAAUAAAGGAGAGCUUAAUGCUUUUGCUGGACUGCGAUGAAGGUGCCUCACUCGGUCCCUGAAUGUUUAUAAUGUGACCAGAUUGCUGUGGGCUUUACAGCAGCAUGUGUGCAAUGCAUGUUCUUCAAGGACUUUCCUCUGAGCCUUUCCUUGGGUCUGCUUUGAGUUUGAGAGGGUAGGAGGGGUUCACCAUAAAUCUGAUCUGAGGAGAAAUGGAUGGCUUUCGGGAGUCCACUGUGGCCUGGUCCACAAGAAGCUCUUUCCUCUGAUCCCGUUUUAUUUCAGAAAAGGAUUGGUUUAUUUUUUGUUUGUUUGUUUGUUUGUUUUGUUUUGUUUUGUUUUUAAGCCAGCUAAAUGGCAGAGAGAAAUAUAGGCUGUACUUUUUGUAAUUUUUCUUGGUCACAGGCAGCCCACAGUUAAGAGCCUGGUGAUGUAAGCUCGCAAUCCAGGGGUUCUGGAGUCUCUGCCAGGCCAGGCUCUGGCUGCCCCGGGCUCCGCAGACACAGGCAUGACCUGGAUCUUUGUUUACUUCCUUUCCAAGUGCUGGGGACAUUCAGUUCUAAGAAGGACUGUGUGCUUGCACAAACACUCCUGCCAGCCUCUCAGGCCUUGGUUCCCGCCUGUCUUGGAAAGCGCACCGUCCCUCAGGCAGGCCUUUACUCUUAGAGUGCACUCUGCAGGAUUCUAGUCCAGGCUUGCAAGCUUCUCUCUGCCUCUGGUCUAGGCUGGAACCUCAGCUGCAGCUGCCAUUACAUCAGGCAGGGCUUGCUGCUCCGUAGUGUGGGCUUUUGGAAAGCAGGGCUUUCCCUAUGCGCAGUGUUGACUUCCCCGGGUCUGAGGCAGAGCCUCCCUGUUGCUGGUGCGAGUGAGUUUCCAAAUGAUUCUUUUGUAGUUUCAUGAUUAAAACAAAAGCAUUGGCUGUUGUCAGGAUAAUACUGCAAAAGCAAGCAGGAGUUUUUGUUUUGUUUUGUUUUGUUUUUUUAACCUUUCAUCCUCUGUUGUGUUACUGGCAUUAUGAGUUUCAUACUUCAUCAUGUUCCGUAUGGUACUGUAAGCCUUAACUAUUAGUGUGCAUACAGCAUGGGCACAUAGGUACAUAAAGUUACUACGAAGACAGGGAUUCACUAUCAGGAUUUAAUUUAAAUUCUCUUUAGAGGAAUAAUAAUCACACUUGGGGAAAGAAAAGAAAUGCAUUUAUUUAGAGGAUGCAGCAACCAGGAGUCAUGAAUGAGGAAUUGAGACAUACUUUGUCGGAUGUGUUGCUCACAGAAUCUGUUUUGGAUCAGAAACCCUCCAACUUUUCCCCGUUUGGUAUUGGAACUUGUGGCUCAUUUAUGAGUGUGGCGUUGCAGUGUUCACACUGCUGGGAACCUUGGAACUCGUUCUAGCUCAGCCUUCCGUUUGGACAGAGAAGCUGCAGUGGGCUCAAGAAUGGCGGGAUGCCUUGGGAGCAGAGUGGUCGGGAUCAGAAGAUACCACAACCCCCCCCCCCCCCCUUAACCGUUAGAAGGAAGGCUGGCUUGCUGUGCUUGGGGCUGUGGGCGUUGGGAAUGAAGAUGGAGCCUGGAGUACUAGAUUGUGUUAUUUACAAACCUCAGUGGAGCUGGGGCUCAUGUUUACAGCUGUUAGGGCUCUUUCAAAUGAAAUUUAUUAUUUUAGUAUUGUUGAAAUAAUUAUAAAUAAAAUAGCACUGAUCAUAAAGAAUGUUUGGAGGAGAAAAGGAAGAGUGACAUUAAGUUAAAGGUGGUCCGUUUCCCUUUGAGUGCCAGUGUAGACAGGCAGCCAUCCUAAAACAUAAGUGUCAUGUGAGGCUUGUGGCUUAUCUUUCUCCACUGGAGAUCUCUGAGGUCUUGCAUGAUAUGGCAGUUAAACAAUCUUUACAUGGCUGUUCAUUUUCUUUGCUAAACAGGACUUCUCAGGGCAGUUCUGACUCAAGAGAAAUUCCAUUAUAUCCUUCUGAUGGCAGGCAAUAUAGAAGCCAGUGUGAAAUCCCGAAUCCAGGGGAGCCAGGCAGAGUGGGAGGGCCAGAGCCCACGAAACUGAAGUCCCGAGUUCACUCUGGUCAGGCAUGCAAGCUGCACUUGAAAAUUACUUGGUCACAGUUACCUCUGAGUUCUCCGGCAGCUUGAAAUAGCCCCCUUGAGUUAGCAGUAAACUAAACUUUCAGGUUAUCAAGGUCGUCUCCUCCACACCACCCCCCCCCCCAUGAUUGGGCAGAUUAUUCUUUAGGGAGGCAAAGCAAAAUCAAGCAAUGUUCAGAAGCCUGGAAUGGGCCUUGCAGUUAUGCAGAAGUACUUCUGGCAUCAGCUACCUUGCAAUAAAAACAAAACAGUAUCUGUCCAGACUUGAUGUACACCCUUUUAAAGCACCAUCAAGAAAAGGCUGGGGAAAGCACGGUGUGAUAAUAUAAAGAGAACAGUCCUCAGCAGGGUAAUAUGAAGCAAGCCACCGACCCGGAGCAUGGACAGAGCUCAGAAACACACUGACAGAAAUGUCUGAGGUGGUGGGAUACGGCUCCUGGAUCUGCUUCUGAGAGAUCCUAGGAAGCUGGAGCUAACCAUGGCAACAGACAGUAGGUCUGUGGUUGCCAGGGGUGGGGUGGGAGAUGGCUGGUUGCAGUAAAGGCAUACAUGCAUCUUGUGGGGAGAAAUAAAAUCCAGUGUGUUAUUGUGGUGGUAGCUGCGCUGGCGUGUGUAACUACAGGCCUACAGUGUUUACUUUCUGUUUGUAUGAAUUAUACCCCAUAAAGCUGAUCUAAAAUGAAAGAAAGUUUAGAAAUGGGAUUUCUUUGUGUAACUGAAGAAGUAGUGUUUUAAGACUGUUUAUUGCAGGGGAGUCAUCCCUUUCCUACAGGGUCAGCUGGCUUGUGCUCACGGGUCUAUUUUAACUUUAUUUGUUACCAUGAUUUAAAUAGUCUUUCUUCUCCAUUCACUUAUAGUCCUUACUAAGUAGUAAGCAAGAAUGUAGCUUAUCUUAAGUUGACCUCCAGCUUUUAUCUUAAGGACAGACUUCUAUCCGUACUGGGGGAUUUUCUAGGGAAGACAGAUCGUGGAAAGAGAACCUUUAUCCUCUGGAUUCUUUGGACUGUGGUGCUCGGGUCUCACAGCUGUCUAAGCAACUGUGCAUGGUGAAAGACAAUGUCAUGAGUUUAGCUGUUGGCAAUUGGGGUCAGUUGCACAUGGGCUGUGUGUAUCCUGAGUCUUUGAGAAGCCAUUUGUUGGAAGGCUUUGAAUGUGGCUGGCGUGGUAUUAACCAAGAGAGCAGGAGGAGGAGAGGCACAGUGUACAUGGCUCCCUGGGGCUUAGUCUCCCUCUCCAUACUGUCAGAAUGUUCCUGCAGCGCACCCAUGGAGAGAUGCAUGUAUGCUUAGGAAUGUAUCAUUUAGUGGGCAAUCUAGCUAUUGGGAAUAUUACCAUUGAAUGUUUGUUUGAAAGUUCAGGUUCUCUGUGUCCAGGCAACACCAGUGUCUAAAGAUCCAGCUUGCUCUCCUAAUGGAACACACGCUGGAUCCAGUUUUUUUUCCUAGAAGAGAGGCUCACACACCACAGUAACAAGACGUUCUUUUUAUUUCCUAGUUUAUCAAAAGAUGCUGAUUAUGAAAUCAGGCAUGUGGAGAGUCUAGAUCUAACUGGUUUUUAAAUAGAGAGUGAGAGGAGGUCGCUAGAAGGUUAACUGGUCUUAAGUAAAUUCAAUAUUGGCAUACAGUGGAAAAGCAAACAGCUUUGCCUUGCUGUCUCGAGUCAGUGGAGGUCCUUUGACUUCUCUUCAUGAGCUUAGUUAGAGCUCUGAGGAAAGAUGGCAGACCUCUUCUUUCUUCUUCUUCCUUCCCCAAAGUUGUUGAAAAGUUAGUUUUAAGUGGGAUCAAAGGGCAGUUUAAGCAGAAUGUUUUAUAAAAAGGUGAAGACAGAUGCAUUUU